rnacentral:rRNA from 1 species
GCUGGCGGCGUGCUUAUACAUGCAAGUCGAACGUGAAAUCCGCUUUCGGGCGGAGAGUAAAGUGGCGCACGGGUGAGUAACGCGUGGAUAAUCUACCCUGAGGCCCGGGAUAACUCGCCGAAAGGCGGGCUAAUACCGGAUAAUGUCCCAUUACCCAAGUAAUGUGACCAUAGGAGGCCCUGCUUCCGCCACAGGAUGAGUCCGCGUACCAUUAGCUAGUUGGUAGGGUAAAGGCCUACCAAGGCUACGAUGGUUAGCUGGUCUGAGAGGACGAUCAGCCACACUGGAACUGAGACACGGUCCAGACCCCUACGGGAGGCAGCAGUAGGGAAUAUUGCGCAAUGGGGGAAACCCUGACGCAGCGACGCCGCGUGAGCGAUGAAGGCCUUCGGGUCGUAAAGCUCUGUCAGGUGGGAAGAACCCUCCGUCGAUGAAUAAUCGGCGGAGCUGACGGUACCACCAGAGGAAGCACCGGCUAACUCCGUGCCAGCAGCCGCGGUAACACGGAGGGUGCAAGCGUUGUUCGGAAUCACUGGGCGUAAAGGACGCGCAGGCGGCCCGGUAAGUCGGAAGUGAAAUCCGUCGGCUCAACCGACGAACGGCUUCCGAUACUGCCG